GCAUUAGCUCCAUUUUGACCCCAUUUUUAUUGUUUUAUCACCAAAACUGAACAAGAUAUGACUGAUUAUCCUCUAUAUGGGCGUAUUUUCCAAAAAUGAACGGUUGCCAUGGAAACAGUGAAAUCUUAUAUAGUUCAAAAGAGUUUUUUCAUGGGAACAUUUUUUAUUUCGAAAGGGUUGGUCCUGCCGAACAAUUUGGUACCUAUGAAAAAAAGUAUUGGGGUGGAAGGGGGGUGGGAUGCAUGGUAGACCUUAUUGGCCCCCCACCUAUAGUAAAUCCAUUAAAACAAAGAAGCCGUUGUCGCAGUCAAAAUGGCCCUUAUUUUAACGCAGUUUUAUGUUAGAAUCUUGCUAUCGCGGGAUUAAAGUGUUUCAGUUUUGCACUGAUUUUAUUGUUUGAAAACGUAGCCUUAGGUUAAUAUUGAUAGGUUGCAAAUGAGUGCGAUGGGAAUAUAAAUGAAGAGACUCAUUUUAAUUUCAUAGUAUCAAUAAAACAUUUUAGCAGUGGCAUUUAUUUAGAUCAUUGCAAUUGGAAUGGUUUAACUGACGAACAUGUAGAAGGACAAUGGCAGUGGAAUUACAGUAAUUCAACUCCGGUAUUCACUGACUGGCAACGAGGUCAACCAGAUAGAUUUGACUAUGAAGAUUGCGUUGUGUUCUUUAAAGGGUUUAAUUACCACUGGGGGGACGCCCCCUGUUCGUGGAAAUGCGUUCCGGUUUGUAAGAUAAGUGGGACUUCCGGUGAAAUAAUUGGCUAGCGCUUUUCAAAUGGCAUGAAUAUAAACAUCGGAAAUAAACAUUUUUAACGGCA